rnacentral:rRNA from 1 species
AUUGAACGCUGGCGGCAGGCCUAACACAUGCAAGUCGAACGAGAGGCGGACGGGUGAGUAAUGUCUGGGAAACUGCCCGAUGGAGGGGGAUAACUACUGGAAACGGUAGCUAAUACCGCAUACCAUCGGAUGAGCGCAGAUGGUAGUAGCUAGUAGGUGGGGUAACGGCUCACCUAGGCGACGAUCCCUAGCUGGUCUGAGAGGAUGACCAGCAACACUGGAACUGAGACACGGUCCAUACUCCUAAGGGAGGCAGCAGUGGGGAAGAUUGCACAAUGGGCGCAAGCCUGAUGCAGCCAUGCCGCGUGUAUGAAGAAGGCCUGCGGGUUGUAAAGUACUUUCAGCGGGGAGGCGUUACUCGCAGAAGAAGCACCGGCUAACUCCGUGCCAGCAGCCGCGGUAAUUC